rnacentral:rRNA from 1 species
UAAGGAAUAUUGGACAAUGGUCGCAAGACUGAUCCAGCCAUGCCGCGUGCAGGAAGACGGCCCUAUGGGUUGUAAACUGCUUUUGUACCAGAGAAAACCUAUCUACGUGUAGAUAGCUGAUAGUAUGGUAUGAAUAAGCAUCGGCUAACUUCGUGCCAGCAGCCGCGGUAAGACGAAGGAUGCAAGCGUUAUCCGGAUUCAUUGGGUUUAAAGGGUGCGUAGGCGGGCUUGUAAGUCAGUGGUGAAAUCUCUCAGCUUAACUGAGAAACUGCCAUUGAUACUGCAGGCCUAGAGUAUAGAUGACGUUGGCGGAAUAUGACAUGUAGUGGUGAAAUACUUAGAUAUGUCAUAGAACACCGAUUGCGAAGGCAGCUAACGAAACUAUAACUGACGCUGAGGCACGAAAGUGCGGGGAUCAAACA